UGAGUAACCUGCCCUUCACUCUGGGAUAACUCCGGGAAACCGGGCUAAUACUGGAUAUGACUCGAACAGGCAUCUGUUUCGGGUGGAAAGAUUUAUUGGUGGAGGAUGGACUCGCGGCCUAUCAGCUUGUUGGUGAGGUAAUGGCUCACCAAGGCGACGACGGGUAGCCGGCCUGAGAGGGCGAUCGGCCACACUGGGACUGAGACACGGCCCGGACUCCUACGGGAGCA
rnacentral:rRNA from 1 species